AAAAAUUUAGUUAAAAUAUAACAUUAGUUUGUCAAACUAAAAUUAUUCUAUUAAAUAAUUUUUA
rnacentral:tRNA from 1 species